AUGCGUAGGGGCAUGGCAUUUUGUAAUUUUCUUUGUAUUUGUUUCAGAUUUGGCUGGUCAAAAUGGACUUUAGCUUUUAUCUCCACUAUGACAUUCUCAGAUCUGAUGCUGAAAAGGAUGAUUGCAAGAGCAGCAAAAGGCAUUCUUAUUGUGUUUCAGUUUUCUGCUUCUUUGCGUUGAGAAAUUUCUGCAUUAAAAAAGAAUAUGGGUUUCAAGUGAAUUGGUUUGAGCAGAAGAUGAAUUGGCAGAUAUUGUAGGCUGUAAGGUGAAGAGAAUGAUCAAUCCUUUGCCAAUAAUGAGCUUGAUGAAAGAGUAUAUAGGCAUUACAAGUCCCUCAAUUAGGAUGGCUUUUCUUGGGAUGAAAUUUGCAAAACAGUGGCACUGUGGCAGCUGAUGUUUAGCUUUGGGAAGCUUAUAUCAAGGAACAUUCGGAUUUGUGCUUGAUUUAUGGUAAUGAAAGUCAGAAUGGAAGAUCAAGUUCGUUUGGACAUGAAAAUGGAGGUCAACAAUAAUGGCCUUUGGAUGGGAUUGACAGUAACUUGGGAUAUGCAAUACCCAGCUAGGGAGUUUGAAAUAUCUUAUCAGGGGAAAAAUGAAAGUUUGCAACUUCUUAAGCCUCAGCAUGUUCUCAAAAAUUUCAUAGAUCAUCAAGGGCGAGAUACAAGAAGCACUUGAGGAAAGGCCAUGGGUAGUCAAAACAAAUGUGGGUACCGAGAAGGACAGAGACUACAAUUGAAUAGAAUGUAUUGAUACAACAUUUCAAAUUGUUCCUGAAAUAGAUGCGAAGCUCUUUUUGGAGGGUUUUUGAACUCUUAGAAGUGAGGGAAUGGCCACAAAAUUUGCAGCAAGGAAAUGGUUAUUGAGAAUGGUUUGACAGGACAUCUAUUUUGCUUGUCAAAUUGGGAUAUAAUUUAGAUUUGGUUCCAGAGUUUGGUCAAUGUAAAUAAGAUCCAAUUUUAGAGUAAAAAUAUUUUUGGAAUAGAA